rnacentral:rRNA from 1 species
AACGAACGCUGGCGGCAUGCCUAACACAUGCAAGUCGAACGAGACCUUCGGGUCUAGUGGCGCACGGGUGCGUAACGCGUGGGAACCUGCCUUUAGGUUCGGAAUAACUCAGAGAAAUUUGAGCUAAUACCGGAUGAUGUCUUCGGACCAAAGAUUUAUCGCCUUUAGAUGGGCCCGUGUUGGAUUAGCUAGUUGGUGGGGUAAAGGCCUACCAAGGCGACGAUCCAUAGCUGGUCUGAGAGGAUGAUCAGCCACACUGGGACUGAGACACGGCCCAGACUCCUACGGGAGGCAGCAGUGGGGAAUAUUGGACAAUGGGCGAAAGCCUGAUCCAGCAAUGCCGCGUGAGUGAUGAAGGCCUUAGGGUUGUAAAGCUCUUUUACCCGAGAUGAUAAUGACAGUAUCGGGAGAAUAAGCUCCGGCUAACUCCGUG